rnacentral:rRNA from 1 species
AUUGAACGCUGGCAGCAUGCCUUACACAUGCAAGUCGAACGGUAACAGGUUAAGCUGACGAGUGGCGAACGGGUGAGUAAUAUAUCGGAACGUGCCCAGUCGUGGGGGAUAACUGCUCGAAAGAGCAGCUAAUACCGCAUACGACCUGAGGGUGAAAGCGGGGGAUCGCAAGACCUCGCGCGAUUGGAGCGGCCGAUAUCAGAUUAGGUAGUUGGUGGGGUAAAAGCCUACCAAGCCAACGAUCUGUAGCUGGUCUGAGAGGACGACCAGCCACACUGGGACUGAGACACGGCCCAGACUCCUACGGGAGGCAGCAGUGGGGAAUUUUGGACAAUGGACGCAAGUCUGAUCCAGCCAUGCCGCGUGCGGGAAGAAGGCCUUCGGGUUGUAAACCGCUUUUGUCAGGGAAGAAAAGGUUCUGGUUAAUACCUGGGACUCAUGACGGUACCUGAAGAAUAAGCACCGGCUAACUACGUGCCAGCCGCCGCGGUAA